GGGGGAGUGGAUUUUAAAAGUUUUACCAUCCUUUGGGUGAGUAAUAGGUGACAGUCAUGCAUAGCAUAGCCGAGCCGGGAGAGGGGCAGAAAGCCAGAGUUCCCAGAGUGUUAAUUUUGGUUCAUGAUGAGGCCAAGCCUGGACCUUAUCAGACACCUUUAUCAGAGCAAUCACUAACAAGGUGACUGGACCAAGCUGGAGACACCCCAUGAGCCCAGGAGCAGCUUUCCUUCCAACUCUGCUAACACCUGAACAGAUCUCCUUUUGAUUUGGUCUCUUUGAGAAGUUCUACAACAGCUUUUUCUGAAUCACUUUGUCUAGUUUUGUGCAAACGGUAACUGGGGCAUCCAGAAGAAUGUACAGAGCAGAGAGUUGGUCAAAAAUGUGUUAGUCCUGAGAAGAAAUAAAAGGCAGCCUAGACAUUAAAUUUGGGAAGGACAACGGCUCGACACAUAUGGAUUAAAAAUAUAUCAC
rnacentral:lncRNA from 1 species